rnacentral:lncRNA from 1 species
CUGUGUAUAUUGGUUAUUGUAGGUUCGGAUUCUCUAUUUGGAGUAAGAUGCACUUAAAUAAAAUCUAUCAAUCUUGAUAGAAAAGGAGUAGUCCUAUAUGAUUCGCAAGACUGAGUUUAGAAAGUCUUUAGUCAGAGCAAGAGUGAAUACUGAAAAAGAGUUUCCACGAGAUUCACAGAUGAACUCGAGUCGAGUCAAUCUAGCAUAUAACUAACGAUGGAGUUUGACGAGUUCUCCAUGACCUUCAUCAAGUCGAGAC